GAUGAACGCUGGCGGCGUGCCUAAUACAUGCAAGUCGAGCGAACAGACGAGAAGCUUGCUUCUCUGAUGUUAGCGGCGGACGGGUGAGUAACACGUGGAUAACCUACCUAUAAGACUGGGAUAACUUCGGGAAACCGGAGCUAAUCCCGGAUAAUAUUUUGAACCGCAUGGUUCAAAAGUGAAAGUCGGUCUUGCUGUCACUUAUAGAUGGAUCCGCGCUGCAUUAGCUAGUUGGUAAGGUAACGGCUUACCACGGCAACGAUGCAUAGCCGACCUGUGAGGGUGAUCGGCCACACUGGAACUGAGACGCGGUCCAUACUCCUGCGGGAGGGAGCAGUAGGGAAUCUUCCGCAAUGGGCGGAAACCUGACGGAGCAGCGGCGCGUGAGUGAUGAAGACGUUCGGAUCGUAAAACCCUGUUAUUAGGUGAGAACAUAUGUGUAAGUAACUGUGCACAUCUUGACGGUACCGAAUCAGAAAGCACCGGCUAACUACGUG
rnacentral:rRNA from 1 species